rnacentral:rRNA from 1 species
CAGUCGAACGCGAAAGGCUCCUCCGGGAGCCGAGUAGAGUGGCAGACGGGUGAGUAACGCGUGGGUAACGUGCCCCGAGCCUGGGAAUAACCCUCGGAAACGAGGGCUAAUACCGAAUGUGGCCCCCGAUCGGAUGAUCGGUGGCUAAAGGUGGCCUCUUCUAUGCUGCCGGGUUGGGAUCGGCCCGCGUUCCAUUAGCUAGUUGGUGAGGUAACGGCCCACCAAGGCAACGAUGGGUAGCCGGCCUGAGAGGGUGUACGGCCACACUGGCACUGAGACAAGGGCCAGUCCCCUAUGGGAGGCGCAUGCGGGAAUAGUUCCCAAUGGACGAAAGUCUGAGGACGCGACGCCGCGUGAGCGAAGAAGGCCUUCGGGUUGUAAAGCUCUGUCAGGAGGGAAGAAGGCGCUGGGUGUUAAUAGCACCAAGCGUUGACGGUACUUCCAGAGGAAGCCCCGGCUAAAUACGUGCCAGGAGACGAGGUAAUACGUAUGGGGCAAGCGUUGUACGGAUUAACUGGGCGUAAAGGGCACGCAGGCGGAUCGUUUAGUCGAAGGUGAAAUCCC